rnacentral:miRNA from 1 species
GGUAAAGUGGCGGCUAGGUUA